AUCCUUUUCCAGUUUAUAAGCAUGAUGAUAGAGUGUUUACACACUUGUGUAAAUGUGCCUCCCUUAAAUCUUGUUAAGGACUUGACAGGACCCAUCUGAAG